AACGCGAAGAACCUUACCUGGGCUCGAAGCGCAGUGGAAUCCGGUGGAAACAUCGGCGCCCCUUAAAAGGCUGCUGCGGAGGUGCUGCAUGGCUGUCGUCAGCUCGUGUCGUGAGAUGUUGGGUUAAGUCCCGCAACGAGCGCAACCCUCGUCGAAUGUUGCCAACAUUUAGUUGGGCACUCAUUCGAGACCGCCGUUGAUAAGACGGAGGAAGGUGGGGAUGACGUCAAGUCAGCAUGGCCCUUACGUCCUGGGCCACACACGUGCUACAAUGGCCGGUACAACGGGCAGCCAGACCGCGAGGUCGAGCUAAUCCCUUAAAACCGGUCUCAGUUCGGAUUGUAGGCUGCAACUCGCCUACAUGAAGUCGGAAUCGCUAGUAACCGCAGAUCAGCUACGCUGCGGUGAAUACGUUCCCGGGCCUUGUACACACCGGAGUGC
rnacentral:rRNA from 1 species